UACAGAGGGUGCGAGCGUUAAUCGGAAUUACUGGGCGUAAAGCGCACGUAGGUGGCGACGUAAGUCGGGUGUGAAAGCCCCGGGCUCAACCUGGGAAUUGCAUUCGAGACUGCAUUGCUGGAGUACGGAAGAGGAAGGCGGAAUUCCCGGUGUAGCGGUGAAAUGCGUAGAUAUCAAGAGGAACACCUGAGGUGAAGACGGGUUGCCGGGCUGACACUGACGCUGAGGCGCGAAAGCCAGGGGAGCAAACGGG
rnacentral:rRNA from 1 species